GACGAACGCUGGCGGCGUGCUUAACACAUGCAAGUCGAACGGAAAGGCCCUUCGGGGUACCCGAGUGGCGAACGGGUGAGUAACACGUGGGUGAUCUGCCCUGCACUUUGGGAUAAGCCUGGGAAACUGGGUCUAAUACCGAAUAGGACCACGGCAUUCAUGUGCUGUGGUGGAAAGCUUUUGCGGUGUGGGAUGGGCCCGCGGCCUAUCAGCUUGUUGGUGGGGUAAUGGCCUACCAAGGCGACGACGGGUAGCCGGCCUGAGAGGGUGACCGGCCACACUGGGACUGAGAUACGGCCCAGACUCCUCCGGGAGGCAGCAGUGGGGAAUAUUGCACAAUGGGCGCAAGCCUGAUGCAGCGACGCCGCGUGAGGGAUGACGGCCUUCGGGUUGUAAACCUCUUUCGCCAGGGACGAAGCGCAAGUGACGGUACCUGGAGAAGAAGGACCGGCCAACUACGUGCCAGCCGCCGCCAUAA
rnacentral:rRNA from 1 species